UACGGGGGGAGCAAGCGUUGUUCGGAUUUACUGGGCGUAAAGGGCGCGUAGGCGGCCACCGCAAGUCGACUGUGAAAUCUCCGGGCUUAACCCGGAAAGGUCAGCCGAUACUGCGGGGCUAGAGUGCAGAAGGGGCAACUGGAAUUCUCGGUGUAGCGGUGAAAUGCGUAGAUAUCAGGAGGAACACCGAUGGCGAAGGCAGAUCUCUGGGCCGUAACUGACGCUGAGGAGCGAAAGCGUGGGGAGCGAACAGG
rnacentral:rRNA from 1 species